rnacentral:lncRNA from 1 species
GUCGCGAUGAUGUACCAAGAUAUUGGGAAGAUGGAUACGGCCCUUAGAUACUUGCAAGAAGCAUUGAAAAAGAAUGAGAGACUGUUAGGAGAGGAACAUAUUCAGACUGCAGUGUGUUACCAUGCUUUGGCAAUUGCUUUCAACUGUAUGGGAGCCUUUAAGCUAUCUCACCAGGUAUAUGCCGAUUGCGGAAUAUUGAUAUCUAUGUGAACUUAUGGUGUGUGGAAGUGUAACAUCCCUUAAUGUUAUUUGAUCUUUGAUAUGGCAGCACGAAACAAAAACAUAUGAUAUUCUUCUCAAACAACUUGGUGAGGACGACUCUAGGACAAAGGAUUCUCAGAACUGGAUGAAAACUUUCAAGAUGCGUGAACUGCAAGUAAUGCUCUAUUCAAGUUUAUUCAGGAAGUUGUUUGCUUUUACUUGUUUUUAUUUAUUAGUUAAAUGGAUAUUCUUACCUUCCAAGAGAGCAUAAAAUAUUGUUUGUAUUACAGUUGAAUGCACAAAAGCAAAAAGGACAGGCUUUGAAUCCAUCUUCUGCUCAGAAGGCUAUUGAUAUAAUUAAGGUAUUCACUAAAUCCAUUCUCCUGUUUUUUAAUGCCUUUUGUAUAUCUCAGUAUUCAUGUGCUUUACUUUCCACAAGGGUUAAGAAACAAGUGUGCAUUGUCAUUUUGUCAAGAGAAAACCUACUUCCAACCUCCCAGGGUGAUAUAAAAAUUCUUUAUUGUGAAUCUAACCGGUGCCUGAUCUUGCUUUCAAUUUUUUCUUGCAAUUAAACCUAGUGCUAUCUUCAAGUUCAAGUCGGAGAGAGUCAAUUCUCGCACAUAAAUGGAACUUCUAGUGUGAUCCUGUAAAUACUCUGCAUUUGGUAUAUUUAUGAUUUGCUGCGACCUUCGUUGCUAAUACAAACAUGUGUUGAGUUGUGCAAAAUAAACAUUUUGUAGAAAAUUUAGCGAGUGUGCUUAUUUUGGUGUAUAGUCAAUUUUCAGUAACACAGUUGAUACUUUAUAUGAAUGACAGGCCCACCCAGACCUGCUACAAGCAUUUCAAGCAGCUGCAGUAGCUGGGAGUUCUAGUAGUACUAGUCAUGUGGGGAAGAAAUCGUUAAAUGGUGCUGUGGUUGGUGCUGCAAGAGGUUUGGAUGAAAGAGCGAGGAAAAGAGCAGCAGCAAAGGCCCUUUUGGUACGCAGGCAUGGUGGUCCUGCACAGGCUUCACCGCCGACCUCUAACAUCAUAAACUCAGGGGAGCCACUACCAACGGAUGUUGCUGUAAAUGAGGCCUCCGAUGGAGGGAAGAAAGAAUCCGACAACCAAACCUCAAAUGGAGUGCUGGGUUCAGAAGGUCAUGAACCCAAGCCAGGUCAGCAAGAUCAGGCUCCGGUUGGAUUAGGCCCGGGCUUGGCUGCCUUGGAUGCCAAGAAGCUGAAACCAAAAUCCAAAGCGAAAGCAACAACUGCCGAGUCUUCUACCUGAGCCUGACUACAUUUUGAUUCUUUUUGUUAGGUGUAGUUUUGGUCAGUCUGAAUUACGUUUCACACCUGCAAUUGAGUUAUACAUUCUGCUUUGAUCCAUAAUUAGUUUAUGGAUACAUUCUGCUUUUGAAGCAUGAUUAGUUUACAGAUGCACUAAACUCUUCCAAAGUUCUAUUAAUAAGUGUGCUAUGACAAUUUUGCAUUUAGAGAGUAUUUCUCUGCAAUUGUUAUUUUAUGAAAUUCUUCAUAAUUUUGAAGCCCUCAUUAUUAUGUUUCUGUGCUACCCUUCAUAUCUAUACAUAUAUAAAAGCUGGUCCAUCUAGCCAAAAAAAUUUCCCGCCCUUUUACUCAAUUUAUUUUUGGAAAGUUGAUCUAUAUUUGGAAAGUUGCCUAAUUUAUAGGAAGAUAUAUAUAUAUAUAUAUAUAUAUAUAUAUAUAUUUCUUAAUUAAGUAAUUAAAAUUUAAUUGAACGACAUUUAUUCCCAUCAUCUAUAUAUGAAAUUUAUAUGUAAAAAAUUUGUAGAUCACUAAUUUCAAUUAAAUCUUUUGUGAGAAAUAUUCAUCCAAUAAAUAAAAUUCAAAAUAUAAAUACAUAUAAAUUGCAUGGGAUCUUGUAGUCAUUUGCAAAAGUGAAUAUUCUUUUUGAUUUACACGCAAUUUUAGACUAUAGAUUGUUUUUGAAUUCAAGAGAAUAAAAAAUUAUUUACGAACUCGUAGCAAUAUCUCAUAUAAAUUAUUUUUGAUUUACACGCUAUCUCAUAGAUUGAUUUCUAAUUAUUUUCAAUUAAAUCUUUUGGAGAUAAACAAAAGAAGGGCUAUAUAAGGCGGCGAUUAAUUUUUUGUUGUGAUUUUGCAAAGUAUGACAAAUAAUAAUAAUAAUAAUAAUAAUAAUAAUAAUAAUAAUAAUAAUAAUAAUAAUAAUAAUAAUANCGGGCAUUGCUUCUUUUAAGUUUGUCAUCUGGUCCAGAUCACCCUGAUGUCGCUGCCACUUUCAUAAAUGUCGCGAUGAUGUACCAAGAUAUUGGGAAGAUGGAUACGGCCCUUAGAUACUUGCAAGAAGCAUUGAAAAAGAAUGAGAGACUGUUAGGAGAGGAACAUAUUCAGACUGCAGUGUGUUACCAUGCUUUGGCAAUUGCUUUCAACUGUAUGGGAGCCUUUAAGCUAUCUCACCAG